CCUACGGGAGGCUGCAGUGGGGGAUAUUGCACAAUGGAGGGAACUCUGAUGCAGCGAUGCCGCGUGGAGGAAGAAGGUUUUCGGAUUGUAAACUCCUGUCUUCGGGGACGAUAAUGACGGUACCCGAAGAGGAAGCUCCGGCUAACUACGUGCCAGCAGCCGCGGUAAUACGUAGGGAGCAAGCGUUGUCCGGAAUUACUGGGUGUAAAGGGAGCGUAGGCGGGAUAGCAAGUCAGGUGUGAAAACUAUGGGCUCAACCCAUAGAUUGCACUUGAAACUGCUGUUCUUGAGUGAAGUAGAGGUAAGCGGAAUUCCUAGUGUAGCGGUGAAAUGCGUAGAUAUUAGGAGGAACAUCAGUGGCGAAGGCGGCUUACUGGGCUUUUACUGACGCUGAGGCUCGAAAGCGUGGGGAGCAAACAGGAUUAGAUACCCCAGUAGUC
rnacentral:rRNA from 1 species